rnacentral:rRNA from 1 species
UGGUGCUUGCACUAGAAAAACUUAGCGGCGAACGGGUGAGUAACACGUAAAGAACCUGCCUCAUAGACGGGGACAACUAUUGGAAACGAUAGCUAAUACCGGAUAACAGCAUAAAUCGCAUGAUAUAUGUUUAAAAGUUGGUUUCGGCUAACACUAUGAGAUGGCUUUGCGGUGCAUUAGCUAGUUGGUGGGGUAAAGGCCUACCAAGGCGACGAUGCAUAGCCGACCUGAGAGGGUGAUCGGCCACACUGGGACUGAGACACGGCCCAGACUCCUACGGGAGGCAGCAGUAGGGAAUCUUCCGCAAUGGGCGAAAGCCUGACGGAGCAACGCCGCGUGAGUGAAGAAGGAUUUCGGUUCGUAAAGCUCUGUUGUUAGGGAAGAAUGAUUGUAUAGUAACUAUAUACAGUAGAGACGGUACCUAACCAGAAAGCCACGGCUAACUACGUGCCAGCAGCCGCGGUAAUACGUAGGUGGCAAGCGUUGUCCGGAAUUAUUGGGCGUAAAGCGCGCGCAGGUGGUUUAAUAAGUCUGAUGUGAAAGCCCACGGCUCAACCGUGGAGGGUCAUUGGAAACUGUUAAACUUGAGUGCAGGAGAGAAAAGUGGAAUUCCUAGUGUAGCGGUGAAAUGCGUAGAGAUU